rnacentral:rRNA from 1 species
AAACUAGGAUUAGAUACCCUAUUAUUUAAGAGCUUUACAUUGUAAGUAAAUAUUAAUUACGAAAGCAAAAAAUUAUGGCGGUAUUUUAAGCUUUUCAGAGGAAUUUGCUCUUUAAUGGAUAAAACACCUAAAUCUUACUUAAAUUUGUUAGGCAAUUUGUAUACCACUAUUAAAUUAAUUAUUAAUUUUAAUUUAUAAAAUUUAUUGCAAAUUUAAAAAAAAUUAAGUCAAGGUGCAGUAAAAAUUUAAGAAUGAAGUGAAUUACAUUUCUUUUAAGAGAUUAGAAAAUUAAAAUUAUUAUUUAGGAUUUGAAAGUAAAAUUAAAAUAGAAUGUUAAUUUGAAUUAAGCUCUAAAAUAUGUACAUAUCGCCCGUCACUCUUUAUUAAGAUAAGUCGUAACAUAG